rnacentral:rRNA from 1 species
GAUGAACGCUGGCGGCGUGCCUAAUACAUGCAAGUCGAGCGAACAGACGAGGAGCUUGCUCCUCUGACGUUAGCGGCGGACGGGUGAGUAACACGUGGAUAACCUACCUAUAAGACUGGGAUAACUUCGGGAAACCGGAGCUAAUACCGGAUAAUAUAUUGAACCGCAUGGUUCAAUAGUGAAAGACGGUUUUGCUGUCACUUAUAGAUGGAUCCGCGCCGCAUUAGCUAGUUGGUAAGGUAACGGCUUACCAAGGCAACGAUGCGUAGCCGACCUGAGAGGGGGAUCGGCCACACUGGAACGGAGACACGGUCCAGACUACUACGAGAGGCAGCAGUAGGGAAUCGUACGCAAUGGGCGAAAGCUUGACGGAGCAACGCCGAGUGAGUGAUGAAGGUCUUCGGAUAGUAAAACUCUGUUAUGAGGGAAGAACAAAUGUGUAAGUAACUAUGCACGUAUUGACGGUACCUAAUCAGAAAGCCACGGCUAACUACGUG